rnacentral:misc_RNA from 1 species
GAACGCACAUUGCGCCCUUUGGUAUUCCAAAGGGCAUGCCUGUUUGAGCGUCAUUUCUCUCUCAAAUCUUCGGAUUUGGUUUUGAGUGAUACUCUUAGUCAGACUAAGCGUUUGCUUGAAAUGUAUUGGCAUGAGUGGUACUAGAUAGUGCUGAACUGUUUUCAAUGUAUUAGGUUUAUCCUACUCAUUGACCAGUAAAGUAUUUGUUUAUUACACAGGCUCGGCCUUACAACAACAAACAAAGUUUGACCUCAAAUCAGGUAGGACUACCCGCUGAACUUAA